rnacentral:lncRNA from 1 species
CAUACAAGCAUGAUUCCGCCUUUAAUUGUUAAUUGCAUACCAUAGAUGUUACUCAAAUGAACAUGUUUUUCACAAAAUUUCCUUCAAACAUGUGAGAACAUUUGAACACAUAGGAAAACUAUUAACACAUUAGAGUAGGCAUGCAUUAAAAAACAAUUCUAAAACCCAUGACUUUAAAGCCUAGUGAAUGGUAAACCACAAGACUCUUUAACAACAUUAAAGAGAAGAGAGUUUUUGAGAUUCAUUACCCUUAAAGCUCAUCCUUGUUUACACAAGGGAUUCACCUAAGUGGAGGGCCUUCAAGUCACCUCCUAGCUCCUUGAAUCUUCCUUGUGAUUUUUCUUCCUUUGGAAUCUCCUUUGCUCCUUGAGGAUGUGAGGAUAGGAACUGCAAAAAGUACCAAAGGUUUGGUACCUCUAAGUCUCCACACCAAAGAUGUAGUGUAAGAGAAGAUGGAUGACUUAGAGAGAUUUUACAUGCUAGUAAAAGUCUCCCUAAGUGGCCGACCUCUAUAGAGAAAAAGGGAGAAAAAGUUUCUCUUCUUUUCCUUUAGAAAACCCUAGUGAGAGAAUGGCUAUAAAGUUGCAUUUAUACCACCUCACAUGUGAGUGGCAAACUUGCAAUUAACCCAAGUUUGCUACCACUCACCCUUGGCCGGUUUUGACUUUGUUUUUGGGUUAAUUUCCAUUUAGUUUUAGUUGUCACACAACCUAAACUCAAUGGGCCUUGUGGACCAAAAACCCUUUUGGGCCCCGAAACCCAAAUCCAACUUAAAAGCCCAAUACAAACCUUUCAUAAGAUUAAUUAACUAAUUAAUUAAUCUUGACCAUUCUCAAUUAAACUAUUUAAUUGCUUAUCCACUUAUUUAUAUUUCUUCACUUACAUCCUUUCUCGGUGUACGAUCCAUUAGGUUCCAAUUAGCGAGGCAGUGGGCAAUUGUUACUCUUAACAAUCGAUUGUGAAUUGAAACUACAUUUCAAUUCUCCCCUUUGAUGAAGAUUAGAGUUUGCUAAUCCUCAGGGCUUCCACAAACCAUGAGUGACACCUAACAGUAUGUCAUGGCUACCCAAGCUAAGUAGAAGUGGUUGGAGAACCUAUCCAGUUACAAUUACAAUGCAAUACAGUCAUUCUCUAAUACAAUACUCUUAAUCACAUUGUUUGAGUGAUAGUUUCUUUCAUGUCUACUAUCCAAUGUGAUACUUCUCUAUAUGAUUCAAUUGAAUAUGAUUUGGAACAAACUUCUUAAGUCAUAUUCGUAUGCUUUGGCCAAAGACUCCCAAAUCAUAUCUCAGAGUAUUCUCCAUCCACCCUGGAAGGUUAGAGAUCCCUUAUUGUGCAUUCAUAUGCUUACAUGACUAGAUAGCUUAACCCCAACAAUAUCGUGGACACUUUCGAUGGAAUGCCUUUGACAUGAUCAAAGAUUAAGGACCUAACGAUUAGACAUUUAUGAUGCCUCAGGUUAAAGGACUACUUUGCAUAUUACAACAUACAAGUUCUUACAUGACAAGUAUGUUCGAACUCUCUUUUAAUAGUUGUUCAGUGUACUCAAUUACCUUUUGAGCACCUAUAUGUUUGUCU